UUGAACCCGGGAGGCAGAGGUUGCAAUGAGCCAAGACUGCGCCACUGCACUCCAGCCUGGGCGACAGAGUGAGGUCCUAAAAAGGGAAGAAUAUCGCUGCAUCAGAAAGCAGGAAGGUGGGGCCUGCCCGGGGCCAUGGCCCUGCAAUGAGUUUGGCCCAGAGGCACAGACAGACAGGAGACCAAAGUGAAAUGAAUGAAAAUGGACUGGACCCGAUCGGAGGACUGAGGAGAGCCAGGCCUCAGGGCACCUGGCAUUUGUUCCCUGGAUGGAUCAGGGGAACUGAGGAGAGCCGGGCCGCAGGGCACCCUGGCGUUUGUUCUCUGGGCGGAUCAGGGGAACCGAGGAGAGCCGGGCCGCAGGGCACCCUGGCGUUUGUUCCCUGGAUGGAUCAGGGGAACCGAGGAGAGCCGGGCCGCAGGGCACCCUGGCGUUUGUUCCCAGGGUAGGGGAGCUCUAGCAUGGCACACAGUAGCAGAAGAUAGCAGGUUGUGGUCGGCCCAUGUAGAGAUUUUAGAAACAUCUCACACUUCAUGAGAUCUUAGAAACAUCUCACACUUCAGGUUCAGUCACCCGUGUCCAGUGUCCACAGGAAGGCCUGUGCAAGGCCUCAUGGGAAACAGGGUGGUCCACCAGGCCUGCCCUCAAGGGGGCCCCGUCCCGGAGAAGCAGAUGCACAAAGCUGAGGGACACAGGUCGUGGGCCUUCUUGUGUGGCUCCUUGGCCACGGCACCGCAGCACCUGAGAGCCACCGCUGGAGAGGCAAACGAGCCCUGCAGCAGGCCCGAACCAGAGUUCCUGGGCACGGCCGCGUGCACCCAGUCGGGAGCUUCCCUGCUAAGGGUCAGCGAAGGCUUGGGGUGCUGGCAUUAGGGCUGGGUCCUGAGGGAAGAUGAGGGAGAGAAGUAUAGGAGGAGGAGGGAGUUGAAGGCUGCAGACAGGAGGAGGAAGGGGAGGGAGUAGGGCUGCCAGGGGAGGGGUGGAGGGCUGGAUAAGGAGGAGGGCUACAAAGAAAAGAGUAGAGCUGCAGGGAAGGAGGGUGGAGGGCUGCAGCGGGAGGAGGAGAGGGAGGAAGGCUGCAAGGGGAGGAGGAGUAUUGCAGGGGAGGGGGAGGAGAGCUGGCAGGGGAGGAGGAGGAGGGCUACAAAGAAAAGAGAACUGCAGUGGGAGAAGGAGAGUGGUGGAGAGUUGCAGGGGAAGGGGAGAGGGAGGAGGACUGGAGGAGGAGGAGGGAUGUAGGAGGAGGGUAGUGGAGGGCUGCAGAGGAGGAGGAAGAGGAGAAUAGGGAGGACAAAUCCACUCUAGCAGGGGAACGAAAGCAGCAUGGGGCAGACAAAUCCACUCUAGCAUUCCAAUCUCCCUAAGCCUUUGAAUCCCUUCUUCUACACUAACCAUGGGCGGCCAGGCAUGUCCAGUUAUCCCAUGGUGGGCCAUGUUUUGGCCCAUGUUUCAGCCAAGCAGCCAACCAACCAAUUAGAGCCCUUUCUAAAUGCGGAAUCUCUGCUUAGUGAGCCCGUAUCAAUAAACUUGGCCUGAUCUAACUCUGUGUUCCUCCUACCAUUCUCCCAGGCCCUCAAUAUGCAUUCCCACGGUCCUGGGAUUUCUAUGUAAACUGGAAAACUCACGUUCUCUUUGCAGACACCGUGAGGCUGGGAGUUCCACAUGUGCUAUAAUCCAGCCACUGGAAGGGCGAGAUUCUGGGUUUGAUUUUCAGUAGUCUCAGACCCGCAGCUAAAGGAGGUAAGAGUCUCUCUUGGGACAGUCAUAACUUUCAGAUUAUUCAUGUGACACUUCAGCUGGGAAUCUGAAUCCUGAGCUCACUCCCAUGAUACUUUUUCUGAGAUGGAGUCUCACUCUGUAGCCCAG
rnacentral:lncRNA from 1 species